ensembl:lncRNA
GGGGGGCGGCGGCCCCGCCCCGGCGGGCGGGGGAGCAGGUGGCGGGACGGUGCGCGGACUGGGGGAGGGGCCGGAAGGGGCCCGCGGGAGCCGGGGCCGCUGGGCGCGCCCCCAGCGCAUGUCCUCCUCCUCCUGGCCUCCCAGCUCCUGCUGCUCCUUUGGCGACUCGGGCUCUACGAAUAUCUUAGAAGAACACCGUUUGACCAGAGGACCAGGCUCCCUUUCUGGCUUCGGCUCUCAGUCCCUCUGUAUCUCGCUCAAGCAAAUCAAUUACGUUCAUCCUCCAUCUCCCAGCCUCAGUUUCCUCGCCUGUGACACGGCAGAGAUGGACCAGGAAGACCUUCCUGGACACAUCAGCGCACACUACAUUUUUUGUGACUCUGGGGAUAGGGCCGGGAGGAUUCAGGGCUGGGCUCCAGCUGCUAAGACGGCAGCGGGAAGACAGCCUGACCCGAGAGCCAGCCUUCUUAUCUGCGCCAGAGACCUCACGGUGUCCUGCCACGACCCGUACCCCCAUGGCCUCCAUCCGGGACUGCUGCACAGCUCUGUUCUGAGUCCCCGCCCUGCGAAGGAGCUGGAGGUACAGAGGGAGAAGGAGGAGGAAGCAAGAGAAGGGAGAGCGUGAAGAGCACUCAAUUGGGAUGGUCCCUGGGAAAACCCUGCAGGAGCCCUGUCUUAGGCCAAAGGCCUGGCAACUAGAGGACGGAUUUGUGAAAGUCAGCUCCAUCCAGACCUACCUUGUGACCUUGACCUUGGACAAGUCACUUCAUCUCUCCAAGACUCAAGCUCCUCGCCUGUAUACAAAUGGGGAUCUGUGGAACCCAUCUCACAGGAUUAUGGAGAAAAUGAAAUGGGAUAACCUACAUAAGUACUGUAACUAUGGCCAGGGCUCAGUAAAACCCAGCACGAUAGCUGUUCUGGGCAGCAAUAUGGGUUCCUACAGUUGGUUGGCUGGUGGAAGGCACCUCUGAGGAUGUGUGGGUUUGUUAAAGGAUGUAGUUGGAAAGGUCGCUUAGGGUCAAUGAAUGUUUGUUGAAUGAAGGAAUUCAUUCAACUUUCAACAAACAUUCCGUGAGGUCCCCCCUGCGCCAAGCCCGGGGACACCACUGUGAGGAAGUGAGGGACCACCCCCAGUCCUCAGGCCCAGAGUAGGGCUGGGUUGGGGUGGGAUGGGGUGGGGUGGGGUGGAAGGGGUGGGGUGGGGUGGAAGGGGUUGGGUGGUGGUCACAACCAUCAAAGGUGAUGACAGCACCAACUGCUGUGUACUGUGACCGGGAAGACAAGGGGCUCUAGGAGCCCCCAGGAGGACUCACCCCGGCUGGGACCCAGGAAUGGGUGGUCAAGGAUGGCUUCCAGAGAAAAGUGUCUGGGGGGAGCUGAGAGUGCUCUGAAUGCACGCCUUAUCUCCCUGUUUGCACUUACUUCCAACAGCACUUGCCCUUGUGUGCCAGCUGGUCCAGGUGCUGUCUGAGGACGUGGCCACGCUGGCAAGCCUAAACUCACCACCUUCAGAUGGGGGCGAGGGGGCGCUGCCUUCACCUUGGCCUCUAGCACUCUGUGUCUCCGCCCCCCGUCAUCUGUUCCCCACAUCAUCGCUCUAACCACCAGUUUGGUUUCCGCAUCUGUGCUCCUGGCUGCGUUGUCUCACAGACAUACCCAGCGAGUCACGAAUGAAACCACACCUGUACUUUUCUACAUUCUUUAGUAGCCAGGUUGUAAGAAGUAGAAAGAAACAGAUGGAAUUACUUUUACUAAUAUAUUUUAUUAAACCCAAGAUACCAAAGUUAUGAUAAACGUGGAAUCAACAGAAACAAAUUAUUAACAAGCUAAUUUACAUUAUUAUGUUUGUACUAAGUUUUUGCAUUCUGGUGUGUAUUUUGCACUUACUGCACACCUCAGUCUGAAUUAGGUGCAUUUCAUGGGCUCGAUCAGCCUGUGUGAUGAGUGGUUCCCAUAGGGGAUAGUACAGCUCUAGAAUGUGGGUUCCUCUAGGGCAGAGACCCUGGACUUUUCACCUCUUUCUUCAGUGCUGAGAGGGGUGUCCUAGGUGGAGGGACUGCACGGACAAAGAUACAGGCAUGAAAGAACAAAGCAUGUUCAGGGACCAGCACGCCAUUCUGUGGGGCUGCAAGGUGAAGUAAGUCUACCAGGAAGGUGGGCGAUGGGAUUGCUUUGUGUCUGUACCGGAUUGAGGAAAGCCUUGAAUACUGUGGUAAGAAAUUUUGGAGUGUGGUCCUGUGGGCCACUUGCGUCAUCAUUUAUUUAUAAGCAGAGGAGUGUGAUAUUCAGGUUAAGGGUUUAGAAAGAGCCCUCUGGUAGGCAGCAUGGAGGGUCAUGUGGAUGCGACUAAUCAGGAGACAGGGAGACCAGCUAGAAGCAGAUGUACUGCACAGGCAAGCGAUGAGGGAGGGGACGAGGAGGCGGGCCCAACUAGAGAGGCAGUGAUGGAAUGUCAGGACUUGGGGACCCACUGGAGAGGGAGUGAGAAAGCAGGAAGAAGGCCUAAAUUUUUUGCCUGUGGUGUCCGUGUCUGAGCCAGGAUGCGUGGGAGGUUUGUCGAGGACAUCAAGGGUUCCAUCCUGGUACCUGCUGGGUUUGAACUAUUAGCAGGACACCUUGGUGGACAGGAGCAGUUAAGUGGUAAGGGUACCUGUGCCAGGGUAUAUAAAUGAUAGUGAGGUCAUGUGGUCAUGUGAGGCAUUCAAGCAGGGGCUGGACAGACACGAGCCUGGGAUGUUGUAGAGGGCUUACGUGCAUCCCAGGUGAGCUGGGCCUGCUGGCCUGUCAGCCUAGAUGGUGUCUGAGCCUAGGCUUUUGCUGCAUUUGUGUGUAGGAGGCACUGUCGGAGCUUGGGCAUAUCUACAGCUGGGGACCUUUGUGGUCUAAAGGUGGUUUGUGUUUUGGGACCUUGGCCCCACAACUGGAACUGGGGGGCAGGCAACAGGCAUGUUGGCUGCUGGAGGGGGGACAGAGGUUCCAUCCCAACAGACCAUGAGGGAAGAUAGCCUGAGGUCCAGCUGGACCCAUUUCUUAGAACCAGAGAGUGAGAAGGAUCCUUGAUCUUCAACCAUCCUCCUCUCCCCUCCUCAUUUUGAUUUUUGGGAAAACUGAGGACUUUGCCCAAGGUCACAGAGCAGGUCAUGACACAUCAGGUAUGGGUCGGGGUGAGGGUGGCAAGGAGGGUUCGUGUUGGAUCCUGGUACCCUCUCCCUGCAUCCCGAGUACCCAUAGCAUCUUCAUCUCCUUGCCUUUCCUUGGCACAAGAGAUGUCCUUUAACACAUGUGGUAAGGGAUCCUGGUCCCUUUUAAUUAGGAGGAUACAAAGAGAGAAGUCAGACAGCCGCCCCCACCCAUGGUUGGGAGAGUAAGUGCUCCCCAAAUUACACAGCAGAUGCCAGGACUCCGGCAACAAGACCCAGCUUGAUAGCUUUGUGGUAACCUCAGCCAGCACAAUUUUAUUUUUAUGUUUUAACUCCUUGGUGAUAUAUAGACCUCCCUCUCACAGGCAGAAGAAAUGGCAUCCAGAACUUCUCCCUUGAAAAAAAAAUAUUUUUCAACUUGCGUAACACAUACCCAGUUUAAUUAACCCUUUUGUCAGAAGGCUUGGUCUGCUUUGGGCUGGGUGAGGAAAUUGUUUCUUUCCUGCGAGGUGGGUGUUGUGCAAAUAACUUGAGAAGGAGGCAAAAGAUGUGGGGUGGUGUGCUAGCAACUGGUCCUGCUGUGGAAACUGACCACCCCUCCGCCUGCUAUUAGCCCCUGAUCCUCUUGGGAUCUCUGGGUCCCAAAUGAUAAUUCCUUGGACAAUCUAAUGGACAAUUAAUGAUGUGUGCCUCCUUUGGGAUCUCUUUUUUGUCUGCUUUUAAAAUUUCAGUCUAAGGUGCCUGUUCUGGUGGUGGUGGUUUAGACGCUAAGUCGUGUCCGACCCUCGUGACCCCAUGGACUAUAGCCCUCCAGGUUUCUCUGUCCAUGGGAUUCUCCAGGCAAGAAUACCAGAGUGGGUUGCCAUUUUCUUCUCCAGGGGAUCUUCCCAACCCAGGAAUUGAACCCCGGUGUCCUGCACUGCAGGCAGAUUCUUUACCAACUGAGCUAGCUACGAGGGAAGCCUGUUCUAUAGGAGUCCUUACACUUUAUGUCUGCACUCUUUAAAUCUCUAUUUCCAUAGGCUUGCUAUUCAGAUCAGGAACCAAAACCUUUUGAAUCGAAGCUCACCUCUGACCCCUCCCACUGCCUCAUUUCCGCAUGCUAAAGGUAGGAGGCUACCUCUGUAUCCUUUUCUCUCUGGCCAUACCUACUCUGCCUGAUGGUUCCUGUAUCUGCACCUCUCUCUGGUCUCCCUCACUCAGAUUAGUUUUUCAAUGCUCAGCUCUGCUCUGUCACUUCCUGGACUACAAAAUUGGAGGGGAGAGUCCCUCCCCCAUUGUCUGAGGACUGAAGCCCCAACUGUCAUGCCUUCAAGGCAUACUGCCCCAAGACCAAGACCCGGCCACUGUGCAACCACUCCCCAACCCUGGAUAUGUUCUCCAUGCUCCAUUUGUUCAAUGUGCAAAUGUUUUUUGAACCCUUACUAUGUGCCAGGAGUUAUGUUGGGCACCCAGAAAUUAACUGAUGCACAAGUCCCAGAAACCAAGUGUGUUUCGAGAGCUCAAGGGUUUGGGGGCUCUGAGAAGGGGCGCGGAAUUGAGAGAGGGCCUGGGCUGCGGCCAGCUCUCUUCUUGCUGGUUUCCUGUUUACUAUUAACAGCUGCCCAUCCCGCCUAACACACAAACGCCCAAGUGAACCUUGGUAUGUUUUCAGACCAGCAGCUCAAUCACAAACAUGAAGCAGGCUACUCGAAAUUUGCCUGGCUGCCUUGAAAAUCUGCAGAGAGACCCCCUUUAAUCCCUCCCUUUCUUGCACUCCCCAACUUUCUGCCUUUCUCGCCUCUCCUUGGAGGACAUAUGGCCCCUUGAAGUUUUUGUUUGCUUGAAGGGAGGGGAAUAAACCCCAAAUACCCAGCUUCGAUGUGGAAGUU